rnacentral:rRNA from 1 species
AUUGAACGCCGGCGGAAUGCUUUACACAUGCAAGUCGAACGGCAGCACGGGAGCUUGCUCCUGGUGGCGAGUGGCGGGCGGGUGAGUAAUAUAUCGGAACGUAUCCAAUAAUGGGGGAUAACUAUCCGAAAGGAUAGCUAAUACCGCAUACGCCCUGAGGGGGAAAGCUGGGGAUCUUCGGACCUGGCGUUAAUGGAGCGGCCGAUAGCUGAUUAGCUAGUUGGUGAGGUAAAGGCUCACCAAGGCGACGAUCAGUAGCUGGUCUGAGAGGACGACCAGCCACACUGGAACUGAGACACGGUCCAGACUCUUACGGGAGGCAGCAGUGGGGAAUUUUGGACAAUGGGGGCAACCCUGAUCCAGCCAUUCCGCGUGAGUGAAGAAGGCCUUCGGGUUGUAAAGCUCUUUCGCAAGGGAAGAAAACUUAGUCUCUAACAUAGACUGAGGUUGACGGUACCUUGAUAAGAAGCACCGGCUAACUACGUGCCAGCAGCCGCGGUAAUACGUAGGGUGCGAGCGUUAAUCGGAGUUACUGGGCGUAAAGCGUGCGCAGGCGGCCUUAAAAGUCAGAUGUGAAAUCCCCGGGCUCAACUUGGGAACUGCGUUUGAAACUCUAAGGCUAGAAUAUGUCAGAGGGGGGUAGAAUUCCACGUGUAGCAGUGAAAUGCGUAGAGAUGUGGAGGAAUACCAAUGGCGAAGGCAGCCCCCUGGGAUAAUAUUGACGCUCAUGCACGAAAGCGUGGGGAGCAAACAGGAUUAGAUACCCUGGUAGUCCACGCCCUAAACGAUGUCUACUAGUUGUUGGUGGAGUAAAAUCCAUGAGUAACGCAGCUAACGCGUGAAGUAGACCGCCUGGGGAGUACGGUCGCAAGAUUA